GUACAAUGGAAUAUUACAGUAUUUGUUAACAAAAAAAAGGAAUGAAGUUUUCAAGCAUGUGUCUGUCACAGCAUGGAUGAACCUUCAAAACAUGGAUGAACCUUUAACACAUUUCUUUGCGGAAUCACCAUGGUGGCUGGGAUCCUGUGCACAUAUCCUGAAAACUGGAGGGCCUUCAAGGUCCUCAUCGCUGCUCAGUGCAGGGGCUCAGGUUUGCAUGCACUCUGCACCACCCCACUUCCACUUUGGCCAUACCAACUGCGUUUCUGAAUUUCUCCACCAAUUUCCUGCUGGCAAGUUUCCAGCAUUUGAGGGUGACGAUGGAUUCUGUGUGUUUGAGAGCAAUGCCACUGCCUGCUAUGUAAGCAAUGAGGUUCUGCGGGGAAGUACUCCAGAGGCAGCAGCCCAGGUGGUGCAGUGGGCGAGCUUUGCUGAUAGCGAUAUAGUGCCGCCAGCCAGUACCUAGGUGUACUGAUGAAUGUCAGCAGGCGCUGGCCGCUGAACCCAAGGUCAAGGACCCCUUCGCUCACCUGCUCAAGAGUACCUUUGUGUUGGAUGAAUUUAAGUGCAAGUAGUCCAGUGAUGACACACUAUGCGGCACUGCCAUAUUUCUGGGAGCACUUCGAUAAGGACGGCUGGUCCCUGCGUUACUCGGAGUAUCCUUUCCCUGAAGAACUUACUCAGACCUUCAUGAGCUGCAAUCUCAUCAUUAGAAUGUUCCAGCGACUGGACAAGCUGAGGAAGAAUGCCUUCGCCAGUGUCAUCCUCUUUGGAACCAACAAUAGCAGCUCCAUUUCUGGAAUCUGGGUCUUCCAAGGCAAGGUGCUUGCCUUUCCGCUGAGUCCAGAUUGGCAGGUAGACUACGAGUCAUACACAUGGCCGCACCCGGAUCCUGGUAGCGAGGAGACCCAGACUCUGGUUCGAGAGCACUUUUCCUGGGAGGGGGCCUUCCAGCAUGUGGGAAGUCUUCAAUCAGGGCAAGCUCUUCAAGUUAACAUCUCUUGCCAUCGCCUAGCUGUCUGCACCUGCCCUUCAGGGAGAUAGGGGUCAUUAAAGGAAACUGAACACUG